GGGGCUCUUGUCGCAUUUUAACUUCAAGUAAAGUUAAACAAAGCAUAGUGUGAGUUGUUCAUAAUUUGCAAACAUUUACUAAUUUAUUAUAUGGAAUGGAGAAUGUAAAUUCAUGGUCACUUCCUUUCCUUGACAUGGUAAUACGUACAUUCUCCUGUCCAUAAGUCAAAGACUAGGUACAAUUUAGAACAUCUUUAGGAUUCAGAUCUGUGUUACAUUCUGUUAAAUUGCAAAGUUUUUUUUGGUUUUUGUUUGGCAACUAAAUCCUCACCUGUUUAGUUGCUUUUAUGCAUUACUGAUUUACAGUCAGUUGCGAAAGAAAGCCUUCACUACUUGUUAUGCUGGUGCAAAGCGUGAUUUAGCAGUGCACUAAACAUUUUGUGAUAGGUUAUUAUUCUGCCGUUGUGCCAUGUUCGUUAAUUGUGCAUCACAUGUUCACCGAAGUGGCUAGGCUAUUAGAAACUGUGACACUUCUUUUUUGCGGUAUUUAUUCUGCAUUGUACAGAACAAGUAUUAUGCAUGUUAUUUUCCUCCUAGAGAACUCUGUGCAUGCACACAUCCUAGUGAGGACCUCAAUGAGGGACAGGCUAGGCUAGAGAUGUCAGUGAGGUUAUCCAACAUUGGGGCUUGGGAACACCGGUGUGCUGCAGUACCGGAUCAGCAUUUCCACUGGAUGCCAUGAACAGCUUGUUGAAGCUAGGGAAUGCCACCUGUAUCACACAUCUUCAAUAGAUCAAGAAAACAUUGGUAUAGUGAGCGUUGCUUGGCAAGUCGAUAAAAGCAUCUCCACCGGCGUGCCCAAUAGUGACCCCAAUAGCCCUAUUGGGGCCGCCACAUGUUUUUGGGCCACACCAGGGCGCCCCAUAAACCGUCGGCACCAAUCCGAGUCCAAUAGAAUAGCCGGCACACCCGUGCCGGCCCCUAGGGACAGGGCGCCGGACAGGUGCACCGGCGCGUGUUGGCACAUAUGAUUUGUUGUGUGGGGCCGUCCUGGCAGUGAGAGAAAGGGAAUAGUUUAAGCGUAAGUACAGUACUAAUUGUUGGGCUAUUCCGGAAUAUAUGGUCUAAAAGUUGCCUUUCUCACAUGUAGUUGCUUGAAGAAAAAUAUUAGAAUUGAUGGAUUAAAAAUGCUCUUUUCUCUGAGUUACCGUCUUUGCUUCCCUCCAUGUUGUUAGUCCAUGUGCCAUCUUUUCCGAUAUUCUACCUAUCUUUUUGUCUUUAAUACACUUUGGCUCAGAUUUUCCUGAUUUUUGGUUAUUUCAUAUGUCUGGCUUGUUUUUGUAUCGUGUUGAAGGCAUCCUAAUUCAGCACUGCUCCUCCAGAUUUGUAUUUGUUAUCCUGGUUUGAUUAGAGUGAACAUAAGUUGGAAAUUAAGUGGGAAUACUUUGCUUUUCUGUUGAGAUUGAAUAUCCACAUUACCCCUAUGAAAGUGUGCAGUUUUAUUCCUGUUUUUAUUUUAUUUUCAUUCAACUUUCCCUGUCACGUUUUUCUCAAGGUUGAGUAUUGCAUGAGGUAGCUACACUCUUGGCUUCUAGUUUGCUAUAAUCUCAUGUUCACCAGACUGUAUGUAGGUGAAGUAUAAACUUCAUGGAAGAAUGACCCAUGGGGAAGAGUCGAUGUUUGUCAGGAGCAAGGUUGUCGAAGGGAGAUUGGGCUCUUUAGGUGGCUUAGAUACAGCAGCAUCUAUUGCUGUCCUUUCAGAUGCUGGCAUGCAUUCCAGCAGAGGCAGAGAUGCAGGGCAAGGAGAUUACGGUGUGUAUCAAAGGAGGGCAACCAAAGUGGGGGCAGUGGUGGCCAGGAUGUUUCUUCUUGGCAUCAUCUAAUAAGAAAACCUCUGCCUGACCCCAGACAGUGGAAAAGGAGUAGACAUAAUAUGUCUUCCGAUGGUCAGGCACUUACGGAAAAGAUCAUCGAUCAUGGUAUUGUGAAAGGAAAUGUUUCAAGUGCCGAGCAUGAUGAGAAAAAGUCCCAUGAGGAUACUUGAAAGAUGCUUCAGUUAGCACUCAGAAGCUAGAUGCAAACCAGUUAGCUAGAGGAUACUUCGAAUGAAAGGCAAGCAUGAAGAAGUUUGACUUAACUUUUGGCAAGUGUUGCAAAUAUUGUUGCUGUGACUAUAUUGACAGGAUCGUUUCUCCCAUUCAGUUUUGAAAUGUUAAAUUUUUAAGCUGGGCUUUCUUCUGUUUGUUACUCCUGCAGUUGAAACAAAUUCAGUCUCUUUGCUGAUCAAAAUGCUAAUACUAUUUAAAUCA